rnacentral:rRNA from 1 species
AAGUAUAUGCGUUUUCGGAACGCAGAAACUGCGAACGGCUCAUUACAACAGUCAUGAUCUACUUGACAUUCCCCCUUUUUAUAAGGAUACCUGCGGAAAAGCUGCAGCUACUACUUGACCGAUGCGUCCCUUCUAUGCGCAAGCUUGGAGGGGUGCGGUAUUUGUUAGCGCUGCAAGAAAAAGGAGAAGAUGGGAGUGCGAACAAAGAAGCGACACGUAUACAGAAGGUACCCCCUUUUGUAUGAAGUGCGUAUCAAUCGAGUUUCUGACCUAUCAGCUUUGGAUGUUAGGGUAUUGGCCUAGCAUGGCGAUGACGGGUAACGGGGAAUUGGAGUUCGAUUCCGGAGAGGGAGCCUGAGAAAUCGCUACCACAUCUAAGGAAGGCAGCAGGCGCGUAAAUUACCCAAUUCUGACGAAGAGAGGUAGUGACAAGAAAUAACAAGGUACGGUCUUUUCAAGACUGUGCAAUUGCAAUGGUGGGAACUUACACCCUUCCCAGAGAAGCCAUUGGAGGGCAAGUCUGGUGCCAGCAGCCGCGGUAAUUCCAGCUCCAAUAGCGUAUAUUAACAUUGUUGCAGUUAAAACGCUCGUAGUUGACUUUCAGGGGUGCAGUCACGCGGGUCCCCCCCUCUCUCUCCUGUGUAAUGCAGGCAGUUGGGGUGGGGCGGUACCUGCACGCGAUACAUCUCUUUAGGGUACGUUCGUGUGGGUUCCUUCACGGGGCUUGGCAUGGCGUCCCUGUUACUUUGAGUAAAUUAGAGUGUUCAACGCAGGCAACUGCUAGGGGCGACCCGCUUGAAUACUUCAGCAUGGAAUAACAGCAUUGAAGAGGCCCUUUGGGGUUUGUCCAUUUUUCUUGGAAGGGCCUCGAGUUCCGGGUCGUCUUUCUUCUUCACGGAGGGAGGCGGCCCGGAGUACGAUUAAUAGGAGUAACUUGGGGGCCUUCGUAUUCCGAUGUUAGAGGUGAAAUUCUUAGAUUUUCGGGAGACGAACUACUGCGAACGCAUUGGCCUAACAUACUUCCAUUAAUCAAGAACGAAAGUUAAGGGAUUGAAGACGAUCAGAUACCGUCGUAAUCUUAACCAUAAACUAUGCCGACUGGGCGUCGGGCGGUCUUUUUCAAGGGGUCUCCUUCUUGCCCCCGUGUCUCUUUCGUGGGGAUGCGGUGCGGCUUGGGGGUCAACCUCGUACGAACUCCCUCGGUACCCUGCGAGAAAUCAAAGUCUUUGGGUUCUGGGGCGAGUAUUCGCGCAAGCGAGAAAGUUAAAAGAAUUGACGGAAGGGCACCACCAGGCGUGGAGCUUGCGGCUUAAUUUGACUCAACACGGGGAACCUCACUAGUGCCGGACAAGAGUAGGAUUGACAUACCUAUAAUGGAAUUCGCGUUCCAUCGAUUGAAGCUCUUUCUUGAUUUCUUGGUGGGUGAUGCAUGGCCGUUUUUAGUUCGUGAAAUGAUUUGUCUGGUUAAUUCCGAUAACGAACGAGAUCUCACCCUGCUCAUUAGCAGUGGGUGCACGAUGCUUCGUUCGGGGGCUUUCGUUCUCGGGGCGGGGAGCCGUCCCUCCGCUCUCCAUACGGUGGGACUUCGUCGGGGUUGCCGUACGUGUGCCUCCGUGGUGUGCGUCUCGGUCCGGCGGAGCUUUCCUCGUGUAGGAGGUACGCGGGUGGGAGUCGGUCCGCCUCGGUAGGGGCGGGAGUGCCCGGCGGGGCGCAUCCAUGAUUUGCUUCUUAGAGGGACUGGGGGUGUAGAAUCCCAGGAAGUGUGAGGCCACAACAGGUCUGUGAUGUCCUUAGAUGUGCUAGGCUGCACGCGUGCUACACUGAUGCGUGUAACGAGCGACCGGGCCGUCCAUGAGUAUUCCUCUUUUCUUGCUUCACGGUGAGGAAAGGGGGUAUUUCGUUGGGGAGGCCUGCCUGCUCCGAGAGGAGUGGGGAAUCUGGAAUACGCAUCGUGAUGGGGAUCGACGAUUGCAAUUAUUCGUCUUGAACGAGGAAUGCCUAGUAAGCAUGAUUCAUCAGAUUGUGCUGACUACGUCCCUGCCCUUUGUACACACCGCCCGUCGCUCCUACCGAUUGAAAGAUAUGAUGAAUUGUUCGGACCGUCGUGCUGUAAGGGGCUUGCUUCUGAGCGCGAUGGGAAGAACCGUAAAUCCUAUCUUUUAAAGGAAG